rnacentral:rRNA from 1 species
GACGAACGCUGGCGGCGUGCUUAACACAUGCAAGUCGAACGGAAAGGCCCUGCUUUUGUGGGGUGCUCGAGUGGCGAACGGGUGAGUAACACGUGAGUAACCUGCCCUUGACUUUGGGAUAACUUCAGGAAACUGGGGCUAAUACCGGAUAGGAGCUCCUGCUGCAUGGUGGGGGUUGGAAAGUUUCGGCGGUUGGGGAUGGACUCGCGGCUUAUCAGCUUGUUGGUGGGGUAGUGGCUUACCAAGGCUUUGACGGGUAGCCGGCCUGAGAGGGUGACCGGCCACAUUGGGACUGAGAUACGGCCCAGACUCCUACGGGAGGCAGCAGUGGGGAAUAUUGCACAAUGGGCGGAAGCCUGAUGCAGCAACGCCGCGUGCGGGAUGACGGCCUUCGGGUUGUAAACCGCUUUCGCCUGCGACGAAGCGUGAGUGACGGUAAUGUGUAAAGAAGCACCGGCUAACUACGUG